rnacentral:tRNA from 1 species
GGACCAGUAGCUCAAAGGAAGAGCCUUCGGCCCAUAACCGAAUGGUUGCAGUAUCGUGAUCUGCCUGGUCCACCA